CCCCUCCUGCUAAGGUGCAUCUAGUGUAGUUAGUGAAAUAGUCUAGAAUCUACUGCUCUGGGUGCUCCUUCUGGCUGGAGGG
rnacentral:pre_miRNA from 1 species